rnacentral:lncRNA from 1 species
GCUUUGUGAAGAGGACACAGUCAGGCACGACCUGAAAGUCUGUACAAGUGGAAUAAAAAGUAGAAAACAUUGUUUAAAAACUUGUUUUCAGUUGAAUCGGCUUGAGCUGAAGCUUUAUUUGAUUAGUAAAAUGCAUCGUAGCGUAUUAACGAUGUUUGAAGAUCUGCAACGCGGGUUUCUAUUAUAGUUUUGGAGGAUUUAAAGCUUCCAUAGACUGCCUAUGAAAUUCACCACGACCAGGAUCUUAUAGUUUACAUUUUUUCAGUAAGUUAGGAGCAACAGGUAGCCUACUUUUGGUUGAUUUGGCUGUUUUAGUUUGAUUGUCAGUUUAUCACACAAACAUCUGAAUAACCACUGACUCACGGCAAUGUUCCAGCGUUUGUUUGGAAAAAAACGCGGAUUUACAACCUAAUUAGGCGAAAGCAGAAUCUUUAUUUGCAAUACCAUCACAUGGAUAUACGGUGCGGUUGAGGGUCAUUGUAUCCAGAUCCUACCUGGAAUCCUUGGGCAGAAGGCCAGAAGACCCCCUGGAUGUAGCUUUAUUUGCCUUAAACACUGUUAAGCAUAACCUUCCACCAUCAUCAUCAUCAUCAUCAUCAUCAUCAUUUCUCCUGUCUGCUAACUAAACAAUGUAUUAUGUAUAUGUAUUAGAGCUUUCAACAUUAAAGCAUUAACACACUGAUUCAUUUUGAAUCACUAGCAUGUUAUUAUUUUUUUAAAUGUAAGUUUAUUGCGUCCAAGUUUGACACCAAAUCCCGUGGUAAUCUGCCCUGCCCAACACAUGGAUUUUCUUGUGGCUAAAUGACACAAAAAGACAGAGCAUUUAUUUGCAGAAAAUGAGAAAUGGUUAAAAUAACAAAAAAAGAUGCA